rnacentral:lncRNA from 1 species
UUAGAGCCAAUUUAAAAUGUUUAAAUUCAGUUAAUGAGACAACAUGUUGAAAGCAAGUGUUUUGCAAGCUUAUCCUCAUUGACACAUGCAUGACAAAGGUGCAAGUCGACAUUUCCGUGUAUUGUUGGUGGGUCAAAGGUUAUUUUCUUGAAGCAGCACUGUGUUCACGUGAAUAUUAAUGAAAGAAACGCUUUUAGCCAAUGAAAAGCUUUUACGUAUCCCAACUAAAACCAAUAGCCAAUCGCAAAGCAAGUAGGAGCAUAAGUUAUGCAUCACGCGCAAUUUUUUGGCAUUAUUUGCUCAAAGCUUUUGAAGGAUUUACCUUCGAGCUCCAUGUUACAAAGUUUAAAUUUUGGAGAAGAUAUUUCGUGGAUAUAAAACAACGGUCAGUAACACAGUAUCAUUCAGUGAGACGCAGUUUGUUCAAAUAUAGCUCUGCCGCGGGCAAGCGCUUUUACUCUUCUGGUGGACGAAAGAAUACGUUGGCUCAAGUAUUGAUGUAUAAUUCAGUGAGACGCAGUUUAUCAGUAAAAUAUAACUCUGCCGCGGGCAACCGCUUUUACUCUUCUGGUGGACAAAGGAAUACUAACGUUGGCUCAAGUAUUGAUGUGUGAUUCAGUGAGACGAUGUUUAUUCAAAUAUAACUCUGCUGCGGGCAAGCGCUUUUACUCUUCUGGUGGAUAAAGGAACACGUUGGCUCAAGUAUCGAUGUGUGAUUCAGCGAGACGCACUCUAUUCAAGUAUAACUCUACCGUGGUCAAGCGCGUUUAUACCCUUCUGGUGGACAAAGGAAUACGUUGGCUCAACCGAUGAAGUUAAAUGAAACCGCCGCUGGGGGAAUUAUAACAAGAUCGAGAGGCUAAACACGAAUUCAACAAGCGUCAUUUGAUAUCAUUCGAAUUCGUAUAUCAAUGUAUUUAUGUAUGCACAUGCAUUUGGUGUGUAAAUAUGCGGUUAAUUCUCACGUUUGCUUCGUAUUUCGCUUUUCAAAACAACCAAAAUGCUUUAACUUCAUCUAUUUUAUUUUUAUCACAGAAUUCGGGUAUAGUAAUUGUCGAACGCCAAAUGUAUCGACUAUUCACGCUAAAUCGAUCUGUAUUUCAAUGUCAAUUUUAUUACCAUCUUGAGUUUUUUAACCGGCCAGAUUGGGCCUCGGAUUCGGGGAUUGGGUUUCAAUAAAGCGUAACAUUAAACUGUAUUCAAUUAUUCAAAAGUAGAUUAUAAAACUUCCUUUCUAGCUAUAUCAGGGCACUCUUUAAUUAAUAAAACAAACACUAAUUUGGCCCGUAUACAUUAUCUAUACCUUACUGGAGAAAACAUAGGAAAUCAAGUUCAUGUGUGAGAGAAAUUUAGGAUCUACUUUAUCUACAUUUGCGAUAAAUCGGCAAGUUGGAUGUCAUGAAAGAUUGGUACGUACAGUGUAUAGUAUGUCGCUACUCAUGAAAAUUCAUUAAUGUCUUGUCACUAUACUGCAUGAUCUUUUUAGUCUACCAAAUACAUAUUCUUACAAUUUCUGCUACUCUCAUGCAUGCAUGAUUGCAUGUUCAAUCACAACACCGUGGUUAUAAACACCUAAAUUGCAUUUUGAUCCUGCUAUUUUUAAAUAUUGAACAAGCUAUUUUUCUGAGAUUAAAGUCACAUAAUUCGAGACCCGAAUUCAUGAUAGUGGAAAUCAAAGUCUCCAAAACAGACCCAUUCCGUAUGGGUCAAACAAUCACAGUUGGCGCGUCCAACUCGCCCCUAUGUCCUGUUUUGGCAAUGAAGAAGUACCUCUUGGUUAGAAAAACAACGGGUGGUCCACUCUUUGUUCAUGUUUCUGGAAAACCUCUUACCAAACAAACUUUAACGGCUGAGACUCGGUUUUUAUAAAAACCAAGCAGGUUUUAAUGCGUCACACUAUGCUGGUCAUAGCUACCGAAUUGGGGCCGCUACAACUGCAGAUUCAGCUAAUUUGCCUGCGUGGCUCAUUAAAACUCUAGGACGAUGGUCUUCCGAUUGCUAUGAACGAUACAUUCGUAUUCCAUCUUUUACCCUGUCAAAGGCAUCUGCCACCAUGACUGCAUCAUUUAAUUUAAAAAAAAUAAAUUUUUAAAAUAAAAAAAAUAAAAAAAAUAAAAAAAAUAAAAAAAGGGGGGAAGGGCGUUUUCGUCUAUGGGGAACACUCUAUCGUGUGUUUUUGGGGAAGAAGUAUUCCAAUAUGUCAACUUCAUUUCCCAUAGACUCUAAUAACGUCACAUAUAAAUAUAUAUUUCAAAUAAUAGGGACUGUCUAAGCGGUUCUGUGGACCUUAGACAGGUUAGGGACUGCCCAAGUGGGCAGGUUAGGGACUGUCCAAGUGUGCUCUUGGUCAGAUACGUCAGGGGGUCGCUACUCCUGACUAGCAUUAUCAGUUCAGUACAGUAUUAGGUAUGUGACGAUGAGGAGGGAUGUCGUUUGGCAUAAACACAGAGUACUUCCCCCCAAAACACCCCUUCUCCCACAAAACCAAAACGUGUGUUUUUUAUUGUGUUAAUUACAGUUUAUAUUCAAUGAUUCAAUCUUUGGAUCAUUAAAGCCAAUUUAAAAUGUUUAAAUUCAGUUAAUGAGACAACAUGUUGAAAGCAAGUGUUUUGCAACCUUAUCCUCAUUGACACAUGCAUGACAAAGGUGCAAGUCGACAUUUCCGUGUAUUGUUGGUGGGUCAAAGGUUAUUUUCUUGAAGCAGCACUGUGUUCACGUGAAUAUUAAUGAAAGAAACGCUUUUAGCCAAUGAAAAGCUUUUACGUAUCCCAACUAAAACCAAUAGCCAAUCGCAAAGCAAGUAGGAGCAUAAGUUAUGCAUCACGCGCAAUUUUUUGGCAUUAUUUGCUCAAAGCUUUUGAAGGAUUUACCUUCGAGCUCCAUGUUACAAAGUUUAAAUCCCACCCACCCACCCCAUCUUACUUGCACUUUGGUUACUGCAUUUGCUUCCAACACCUUGUCCACAUAGUAGUUGGUAAAAGGAUCUCAUUAUAAUUAGCAUAUUAUAAAGAAACAAUGGCUUCCUGCUGUAAAGCUUUCCAAAAUGAAAGACUAUAAGAGGUGUAAAAGCACCUAUGGACACAAGUUUUUAUAAUAUGGUAAAUAAAUAAAAAAUUGUUAUUGUUCUGGCUGGUCUUCGCUGGUAAUAAAAGCUUUCCAAAGUGAAAGACUAUCAGAGGUGUAAAAGUGCCUAUGGACACAAGUUUUACAAUAUGGUAAAUAAUAAAAAUUGUUAUGGUUAUAAAUAAAUAAAUAAACAUUGGGUUCCGGGGAAGAAGUAUUCCAAUAUGUCAACUUCAUUUCCCAUAGACUCUAGUAACGUCACAUAUAAAUAUAUAUUUCAAAUAAUAGGGACUGUCUAAGCGGUUCUGUGGACCUUAGACAGGUUAGGGACUGCCCAAGUGGGCAGGUUAGGGACUGUCCAAGUGUGCUCUUGGUCCGAUACGUCAGGGGGUCGCUACUCCUGACUAGCAUUAUCAGUUCAGUACAGUAUUAGGUAUGUGACGAUGAGGAGGGAUGUCGUUUGGCAUAAACACAGAGUACUUCCCCCCAAAACACCCCUUCUCCCACAAAACCAAAACGUGUGUUUUUUAUUGUG